rnacentral:rRNA from 1 species
UAGUCCUAGCCGUAAACGGUGCGCAUUUGCUGUAGGAGGAUUCGACCCCUUCUGUGGCGAAGCUAACGCGUUAAAUGCGCCGCCUGGGGACUACGAUCGCAAGAUUAAAACUCAAAGGAAUUGACGGGGGCUCGCACAAGUGGUGGAGCAUGCGGUUUAAUUCGAUGCUACGCGAAAAACCUUACCAACCCUUGACAUGGUAGUCGCAGAUCACAGAGAUGAGAUCUUUCAGUUAGGCUGGACUAUACACAGGUGUUGCAUGGCUGUCGUCAGCUCGUGUCGUGAGAUGUUGGGUUAAGUCCCGCAACGAGCGAAACCCUCAUCCUUAUUUGCCAGCGGUUCGGCCGGGAACUAUAAGGAAACUGCCGGUGAUAAGCCGGAGGAAGGUGAGGAUGAUGUCAAGUCAUCAUGGCCCUUACGGGUUGGGCUACACGCGUGCUACAAUGGUGUCUACAGAGGGAAGCAAUACGGCGACGUAAAGCAAAUCCUCAAAAGUCAU